UACGUAGGGGGCAAGCGUUGUCCGGAAUCAUUGGGCGUAAAGCGCGUGUAGGCGGCCACGUUAGUCCGUUCUGAAAGCCCGGGGCUCAACCCCGGGAGGCGGAUGGAUACUGCGUGGCUCUAGUCCGGAAGAGGCGAGUGGAAUUCCUGGUGUAGCGGUGAAAUGCGCAGAUAUCAGGAGGAACACCAAUGGCGAAGGCAGGUCGCUGGGACGUGACUGACGCUGAGACGCGAAAGCGUGGGGAGCAAACAGG
rnacentral:rRNA from 1 species